rnacentral:lncRNA from 1 species
CAAAAGUAGGUUAUUCAUAAUAUGUGAUUUAUUACACAUUCUCAUUAUUAGUCCACAUUUGGCCUACUUCAUUUUUUUUUUUUUUGAGACACACCCAGGCUGGAGUCCAGUGGUGCAAUCUUGGCUCACUGCAACCUCCGCCACCCAGGCUGAGGCAGAAGAAUGGCGUGAACCUGGGAGAUGGAUCUUGCAGUAAGCUGAGAUCGCGCCACUGCACUCCAGCGUGGGCAACACAGUGAG